rnacentral:rRNA from 1 species
UGGGGAAUAUUGCACAAUGGGGGAAACCCUGAUGCAGCGACGCCGCGUGAGCGAAAGAAGUAUUUCGGUAUGUAAAGCUCUAUCAGCAGGGAAGAAAUUGAACGGUACCUGAGUAAGAAGCUCCGGCUAAAUACGUGCC